rnacentral:misc_RNA from 1 species
AAGGCUACCCGUCGUUUCGUGACGUUUCCUUACGCGCUUCCCACAUAUAUUGCGGUACAGACUGCCAUCAUGUCAGGGGCGAUCGCGUUGCUUCGCAACCAUCAUCCUCUCACAGGUGCAGCGACAAGAGGCUGCGGCCGUCUUGCUUGCAGCUGUCGCGCGGUGUGUGAAGCAAUGAUGCUGGAACAUAGCAAGCGCUGCAAGGACAACCGUGCCAACCAAGGCACAAAAGAGCCCGUGCCGCUGUUGCGGCGGACGCACUCUCCCUUCGCAUGGCGUCCGACACGAGCCCUACAGCGGUGGAGGAUGACAUGCUGCGACGGAUCUGGGUACAAGUGUUGGCGCUGCUGGGCCCUCGCGUGCGCCUCUCAUUUCGGCGUCUUUGACGAUUGUGAGUUGGCGCACAGCGACGAGGUGGUCAAGUUUGCAGAAUUAGGCAAUAUCAGAGACGUCAGCGCCAAGUGCAUGCAUUAGGGACCCCAACACUCUGGCCUCAGACUCCAGGCCGACAUCUCCCGAGACGGGGAUACACGAUGCGGCACGCUGCGACAGGAAGUGCUUGGCGGCGGCUGUCCCGCACCGGAGGAGCACAGAUUCUGCGCCCACGAGACGGCAGGAGCUCAUCCUCGCCCAGGUCCCCACGGUCACCUGCGCUUGCACUGGGGAUCGCUUUAGCGGCGGGUGGGUGGUAGCACCAAGCUGACGAUGGUGCGCUGCCUACUACUCUUCUAGCGCUGUGGUACCUUCGCCACCUCCGCAUAGCCUCCGGUCUGCAUGUUGUUUCGGGGCGGGCAUCCGACCCAGCGUUGCGCCGAGUCUGCAGGGGAGGAUUUUUGAAUUGCUCGACGCUCAAACGACACCUCGCCUCGCGCUGUGGUCUUGAGCCGCAAUGGUGCGAUUACGCGCACAUCGCACGCGCCCUGCACGGGCUCCUCACCUGUGAGAGUGUCUGCCGCUGCCCCCCUGUGCCCCGUUCAGGAGGACGAGCUAUGCGCUCUUCGUGCGCAGGCACACGUUUCUUCGUGGACCCUUUCCCCAUGGCACACACCUAAGCCUGCCAAUGGUGUGCAGACUCAGCAGAAGAUGAAAGUUCCCCAUGUCGCCGCAGAUGCAUAGCGACGGCCCACCUGUCGCGGCGCAUGCGAGCAAGUCAUCUAGACACGCCCCACCAUGACACAGACGGAAAAGAAAUAUGAAGACGGCGAGCAAACCUACUGGGACAACAAUGCCGUGCUGAAGCAGGCCCUAGGAUCCGAAAAUGCGUGCACUGGGCGCACGCUGCCUGUUGCACAAUUCAAAUUCUGCAUCAUAUUGCAAACAAGGUAUCAGGACAUCAGCAGACCAAGAGCAAUUCACGGAAAAGACCCAACAAGAUCCACACCGAUCAAUUCCAAACUGUUUGUGUGCAAAGCAUGCGGCAUCCCCCCUACAUCCCGACCGGGUGCACUGGUGAGACACAGGUGGCGGAGGCAUGACGAGAGGACCCCGCGUUUACGUCAUCGAGCCCUCCUGGCUCCACUGUGGAGAGUGACCGCGCCACAUUGUGGUAUGCCGUGGCUGGAAGCGGCUCGCCACCAAAAAGAAACACGGGAUACAGGUAGGGGGUGCGCAGAGUCUAUGAGAGCCUUGGCCUGAAGCUGGUCAACGUGCCCUCCCUGAGCUCAUGCGGCAUGCGUCCAGAUCCCUCUUCCUCCUUCCACUACCCGCACAGUGGAUGCCACCGCCUCGGCCCCUGGAGCAUGGCCCUGGACGGGGGAGACCGCCUUUGGCUCGAGGGGUUACCGCCCCCCCCCCUCUCUCCACCCCGAGUCUCUCCGUCUGGCGCCGGUCGUGCAGCACCUAUCCGACGAGGGGACGAGGAAGGGCACGAAGAGUCCGCUGGACGCGUUGAGCCGAUUCGACGGCAGACGGUAUUCGCCCGAGAAGAUCGAGAUCUCGCGGUGCUCCUACAGAGGCCGGUGCGCUGACAUGGUAUGCCGCAACUUCUUGACUGGCUCAUGGCAGAACAGCGCCUUGACAAGGAAAAGAAACGUUUUGUACAAAAGGAACGCCCUAAGUGUCGAAGCGCUCUGCAGGGCUUGGCGUACCCAUCGCUACUUCAGAAACGGGGGUAGGUUCGUAUGAGGCUUGUCGCGUGAGGUGCUGCUACAAUGCAGGACACGUUUGUGAGCGUCAAGUGCGCUGGGCUGCGCUUUUCGGAUAGUCUACGAACGGUGCUCUCUCGUGACGUUUCUUCUCUGUCCGUCUUGCCUGGAUGCUGUUCCUAUGCAAUGUGCGUUCCCUUGGCGUUGCCGCAUGUACGGUGUGAUGUGCGUGCGUACUCCUGGCUAUCUAACCACUGCU